rnacentral:rRNA from 1 species
UCGGGAAUAUUGCGCAAUGGAGGAAACUCUGACGCAGUGACGCCGCGUAUAGGAAGAAGGUUUUCGGAUUGUAAACUAUUGUCGUUAGGGAAGAAAAAAGACAGUACCUAAGGAGGAAGCCCCGGCUAACUAUGUGCC